rnacentral:tRNA from 1 species
AGCAGCGUGGCUAAGUGGAAAGAGCCCACACUGGGGAGUCAGAGGUCAUGGGUUCGAAUCCCAUCUCUGCCA